AAAGCGACAUCCGAAAAGCUUAAAAAAGAGUAGGAA
rfam:Chryseobacterium sp. Hurlburt 01 HurlbutContig3, whole genome shotgun sequence.